rnacentral:rRNA from 1 species
GGUGUGUAGGCGGUUGUUUAAGUUUGGUGUGAAAUCUCCCGGCUCAACUGGGAGGGUGCGCCGAAUACUGAAUGACUAGAGUGCGGGAGAGGAGAGUGGAAUUCCUGGUGUAGCGGUGAAAUGCGUAGAUAUCAGGAGGAACACCGGUGGUGUAGACGGCUCUCUGGACCGUAACUGACGCUGAGACACGAAAGCGUGGGUAGCAAACAGGAUUAGAUACCCUGGUAGUCCACGCCCUAAACGAUGCAUAUUUGGUGUGGGCAGUUCAUUCUGUCCGUGCCGGAGCUAACGCGUUAAAUAUGCCGCCUGGGGAGUACAGUCGCAAGGCUGAAACUCAAAGGAAUUGACGGGGGCCCGCACAAGCGGUGGAGCAUGUGGUUUAAUUCGACGCAACGCGAAGAACCUUACCUGGGCUCGAACGGCUGGUCAACGGAGGUGGAAACAUCUUUACCCCGCAAGGGGGUCCAGUCGAGGUGCUGCAUGGCUGUCGUCAGCUCGUGUCGUGAGAUGUUGGGUUAAGUCCCGCAACGAGCGCAACCCUUGUCCUGUGUUGCCAUCAUUCAGUUGGGAACUCGCAGGAGACCGCCAGGGAUAACCUGGAGGAAGGUGGGGAUGAC